rnacentral:rRNA from 1 species
GACGAACGCUGGCGGCGUGCCUAAUGCAUGCAAGUCGCACGCGGCACCUUCGGGUGCUGAGUGGCGAACGGCUGAGGAACACGUGGGGACCUGUCCGGGAGUGGGGUACAACACCGCGAAAGCGGUGCUAAUCCCGCAUACGCUCUGGGGAGGAAAGCCGAAAGGCGCUCCCGGGUGGCCCCGCGGCCCAUUGGGUUGUUGUUGGGGUAACGGCCUACCAAGCAAAUGAGGGGUCGCUGUUCCUGGAGGCCGACCCGCCAGACUGGGACGGGGACACGGAGCAGACUCCUACGGGAGGCAGCAGCAAGGAAUUUUCGGCAAUGGGCGCAAGCCUGAACGAGCCACGCGGCGUGCAGGAAGACGGCCUUCGGGUUGUAAACUGCUUUUGCUAGGGAUGAUAACAGACAGUACCUGGCGAAUCAGCCCCGGCUAACUCUGUGC